rnacentral:rRNA from 1 species
GCAGUAGAACGCUGAAGAGAGGAGCUUGCUCUUCUUGGAUGAGUUGCGAACGGGUGAGUAACGCGUAGGUAACCUGCCUUGUAGCGGGGGAUAACUAUUGGAAACGAUAGCUAAUACCGCAUAACAAUGGAUGACACAUGUCAUUUAUUUGAAAGGGGCAAUUGCUCCACUACAAGAUGGACCUGCGUUGUAUUAGCUAGUAGGUGAGGUAACGGCUCACCUAGGCGACGAUACAUAGCCGACCUGAGAGGGUGAUCGGCCACACUGGGACUGAGACACGGCCCAGACUCCUACGGGAGGCAGCAGUAGGGAAUCUUCGGCAAUGGGGGCAACCCUGACCGAGCAACGCCGCGUGAGUGAAGAAGGUUUUCGGAUCGUAAAGCUCUGUUGUAAGUCAAGAACGAGUGUGAGAGUGGAAAGUUCACACUGUGACGGUAGCUUACCAGAAAGGGACGGCUAACUACGUGCCAGCAGCCGCGGUAAUACGUAGGUCCCGAGCGUUGUCCGGAUUUAUUGGGCGUAAAGCGAGCGCAGGCGGUUUGAUAAGUCUGAAGUUAAAGGCUGUGGCUCAACCAUAGUUCGCUUUGGAAACUGUCAAACUUGAGUGCAGAAGGGGAGAGUGGAAUUCCAUGUGUAGCGGUGAAAUGCGUAGAUAUAUGGAGGAACACCGGUGGCGAAAGCGGCUCUCUGGUCUGUAACUGACGCUGAGGCUCGAAAGCGUGGGGAGCGAACAGGAUUAGAUACCCUGGUAGUCCACGCCGUAAACGAUGAGUGCUAGGUGUUGGAUCCUUUCCGGGAUUCAGUGCCGCAGCUAACGCAUUAAGCACUCCGCCUGGGGAGUACGACCGCAAGGUUGAAACUCAAAGGAAUUGACGGGGGCCCGCACAAGCGGUGGAGCAUGUGGUUUAAUUCGAAGCAACGCGAAGAACCUUACCAGGUCUUGACAUCCCGAUGCUAUUUCUAGAGAUAGAAAGUUACUUCGGUACAUCGGUGACAGGUGGUGCAUGGUUGUCGUCAGCUCGUGUCGUGAGAUGUUGGGUUAAGUCCCGCAACGAGCGCAACCCCUAUUGUUAGUUGCCAUCAUUCAGUUGGGCACUCUAGCGAGACUGCCGGUAAUAAACCGGAGGAAGGUGGGGAUGACGUCAAAUCAUCAUGCCCCUUAUGACCUGGGCUACACACGUGCUACAAUGGUUGGUACAACGAGUUGCGAGUCGGUGACGGCAAGCUAAUCUCUUAAAGCCAAUCUCAGUUCGGAUUGUAGGCUGCAACUCGCCUACAUGAAGUCGGAAUCGCUAGUAAUCGCGGAUCAGCACGCCGCGGUGAAUACGUUCCCGGGCCUUGUACACACCGCCCGUCACACCACGAGAGUUUGUAACACCCGAAGUCGGUGAGGUAACCUUUGGAGCCAGCCGCCUAAGGUGG